rnacentral:rRNA from 1 species
UACACUCCUACGGGAGGAAGCAGUGGGGAAUAUUGGACAAUGGGCGCAAGCCUGAUCCAGCCAUGCCGCGUGAGUGAUGAAGGCCCUAGGGUUGUAAAGCUCUUUCACCGGUGAAGAUAAUGACGGUAACCGGAGAAGAAGCCCCGGCUAACUUCGUGCCAGCAGCCGCGGUAAUACGAAGGGGGCUAGCGUUGUUCGGAUUUACUGGGCGUAAAGCGCACGUAGGCGGACUAUUAAGUCAGGGGUGAAAUCCCGGGGCUCAACCCCGGAACUGCCUUUGAUACUGGUAGUCUUGAGUUCGAGAGAGGUGAGUGGAAUUCCGAGUGUAGAGGUGAAAUUCGUAGAUAUUCGGAGGAACACCAGUGGCGAAGGCGGCUCACUGGCUCGAUACUGACGCUGAGGUGCGAAAGCGUGGGGAGCAAACAGGAUUAGAAACCCCUGUAGUCCCAUG